GUGGGGAAUAUUGGACAAUGGGGGGAACCCUGAUCCAGCCAUGCCGCGUGUGUGAAGAAGGCCUUUUGGUUGUAAAGCACUUUAAGCGAGGAGGAGGCUACCGAGAUUAAUACUCUUGGAUAGUGGACGUUACUCGUAGAAUAAGCACCGGCUAACUCUGUGCCAGCAGCCGCGGUAAUACAGAGGGUGCAAGCGUUAAUCGGAUUUACUGGGCGUAAAGCGCGCGUAGGUGGCCAAUUAAGUCAAAUGUGAAAUCCCCGAGCUUAACUUGGGAAUUGCAUUCGAUACUGGUUGGCUAGAGUAUGGGAGAGGAUGGUAGAAUUCCAGGUGUAGCGGUGAAAUGCGUAGAGAUCUGGAGGAAUACCGAUGGCGAAGGCAGCCAUCUGGCCUAAUACUGACACUGAGGUGCGAAAGCAUGGGGAGCAAACAGGAUUAGAUACCCCGGUAGUCC
rnacentral:rRNA from 1 species